CCUACGGGCCGCAGCAGUGGGGAAUAUUGCACAAUGGGCGCAAGCCUGAUGCAGCCAUGCCGCGUGUGUGAAGAAGGCCUUCGGGUUGUAAAGCACUUUCAGCGAGGAGGAAGGUGGUGAGCUUAAUACGCUCAUCAAUUGACGUUACUCGCAGAAGAAGCACCGGCUAACUCCGUGCCAGCAGCCGCGGUAAUACGGAGGGUGCAAGCGUUAAUCGGAAUUACUGGGCGUAAAGCGCACGCAGGCGGUUUGUUAAGUCAGAUGUGAAAUCCCCGGGCUCAACCUGGGAACUGCAUUUGAAACUGGCAAGCUAGAGUCUCGUAGAGGGGGGUAGAAUUCCAGGUGUAGCGGUAAAAUGCGUAGAGAUCUGGAGGAAUACCGGUGGCAAGGCGGCUCCCUGGACGAAGACUGACGCUCAGGUGCGAAAGCGUGGGGAGUAAACAGGAUUAGAUACCCCGGUAGUC
rnacentral:rRNA from 1 species